rnacentral:rRNA from 1 species
AGUUGGUGGAGCGAUUUGUCUGGUUAAUUCCGAUAACGAACGAGACUCUAGCCUAUUAAAUAGUUCGCGGUUCACGACGUAGCCCUCCCCGGCGUGCGUCCGGGCCGGCUUUCGGGUCGCGCUCGCGGCGUCGUCGGUGGUGGGCCCCAGACCGCGCUAACUUCUUAGAGGGACAAGUGGCGUUUAGCCACGCGAGAUUGAGCAAUAACAGGU